ensembl:snoRNA
AUCUCACUUUUAUUUAGAAAAGUGGAUAAUUGGGUUAUAAAUUGGCAUCUUUAGUGCCUCCCUCAAACCUUGUUACGACAUUGGUGCGUUACCCAUCUGAUG